rnacentral:lncRNA from 1 species
GGAAAGAGUCUGUGAUCUGCCACGGUUCUGAUGUGUCUGCUGCCACUUCAUGAUCAUGAACUCUCAUGAAAACUGAACUCAGGUACGUGAGCUAACACAUGGUAUCCAGUGCUGCAGAAGACCUGAGAGGACAGAGAUGGACCUCCUUAUUUGACAAUGAAGAAACAGAAUUAGCGAGGUGGGGCUUUGGAGGCCAGCAAUCCUGACAAAGGAGCUGCCUAGAACUGACCCUUUAACCCUCUGGCAGUGCAGGGUAAGGGAAUCUUUGGACUAUGGGGAGACUGGGAUAUGGAGGUUGAGGACAAAAGAUUGUGUGGUCCAGAGUGUUCUCUGGCUGGGGUCCCCAUUUCAAUUUAUAAGAAUAAAA